rnacentral:rRNA from 1 species
GGGUUGUGAGGUUAAGCGACUAAGCGUACACGGUGGAUGCCCUGGCAGUCAGAGGCGAUGAAGGACGUGCUAAUCUGCGAUAAGCGUCGGUGAGGUGAUAUGAACCGUUAUAACCGGCGAUUUCCGAAUGGGGAAACCCAGUGUGUUUCGACACACUAUCAUUAACUGAAUCCAUAGGUUAAUGAGGCGAACCGGGGGAACUGAAACAUCUAAGUACCCCGAGGAAAAGAAAUCAACCGAGAUUCCCCCAGUAGCGGCGAGCGAACGGGGAGGAGCCCAGAGCCUGAAUCAGUGUGUGUGUUAGUGGAAGCGUCUGGAAAGGCGUGCGAUACAGGGUGACAGCCCCGUACACAAAAAUGCACAUACUGUGAGCUCGAUGAGUAGGGCGGGACACGUGGUAUCCUGUCUGAAUAUGGGGGGACCAUCCUCCAAGGCUAAAUACUCCUGACUGACCGAUAGUGAACCAGUACCGUGAGGGAAAGGCGAAAAGAACCCCGGCGAGGGGAGUGAAAAAGAACCUGAAACCGUGUACGUACAAGCAGUGGGAGCCUCUUAAUGGGGUGACUGCGUACCUUUUGUAUAAUGGGUCAGCGACUUAUAUUCUGUAGCAAGGUUAACCGAAUAGGGGAGCCGAAGGGAAACCGAGUCUUAACUGGGCGUUAAGUUGCAGGGUAUAGACCCGAAACCCGGUGAUCUAGCCAUGGGCAGGUUGAAGGUUGGGUAACACUAACUGGAGGACCGAACCGACUAAUGUUGAAAAAUUAGCGGAUGACUUGUGGCUGGGGGUGAAAGGCCAAUCAAACCGGGAGAUAGCUGGUUCUCCCCGAAAGCUAUUUAGGUAGCGCCUCGUGAAUUCAUCUCCGGGGGUAGAGCACUGUUUCGGCAAGGGGGUCAUCCCGACUUACCAACCCGAUGCAAACUGCGAAUACCGGAGAAUGUUAUCACGGGAGACACACGGCGGGUGCUAACGUCCGUCGUGAAGAGGGAAACAACCCAGACCGCCAGCUAAGGUCCCAAAGUCAUGGUUAAGUGGGAAACGAUGUGGGAAGGCCCAGACAGCCAGGAUGUUGGCUUAGAAGCAGCCAUCAUUUAAAGAAAGCGUAAUAGCUCACUGGUCGAGUCGGCCUGCGCGGAAGAUGUAACGGGGCUAAACCAUGCACCGAAGCUGCGGCAGCGACGCUGAUGCGUUGUUGGGUAGGGGAGCGUUCUGUAAGCCUGUGAAGGUGGCCUGUGAGGGUUGCUGGAGGUAUCAGAAGUGCGAAUGCUGACAUAAGUAACGAUAAAGCGGGUGAAAAGCCCGCUCGCCGGAAGACCAAGGGUUCCUGUCCAACGUUAAUCGGGGCAGGGUGAGUCGACCCCUAAGGCGAGGCCGAAAGGCGUAGUCGAUGGGAAACAGGUUAAUAUUCCUGUACUUGGUGUUACUGCGAAGGGGGGACGGAGAAGGCUAUGUUGGCCGGGCGACGGUUGUCCCGGUUUAAGCGUGUAGGCUGGUUUUCCAGGCAAAUCCGGAAAAUCAAGGCUGAGGCGUGAUGACGAGGCACUACGGUGCUGAAGCGACAAAUGCCCUGCUUCCAGGAAAAGCCUCUAAGCAUCAGGUAACAUCAAAUCGUACCCCAAACCGACACAGGUGGUCAGGUAGAGAAUACCAAGGCGCUUGAGAGAACUCGGGUGAAGGAACUAGGCAAAAUGGUGCCGUAACUUCGGGAGAAGGCACGCUGAUAUGUAGGUGAAGCGACUUGCUCGUGGAGCUGAAAUCAGUCGAAGAUACCAGCUGGCUGCAACUGUUUAUUAAAAACACAGCACUGUGCAAACACGAAAGUGGACGUAUACGGUGUGACGCCUGCCCGGUGCCGGAAGGUUAAUUGAUGGGGUUAGCGGUAACGCGAAGCUCUUGAUCGAAGCCCCGGUAAACGGCGGCCGUAACUAUAACGGUCCUAAGGUAGCGAAAUUCCUUGUCGGGUAAGUUCCGACCUGCACGAAUGGCGUAAUGAUGGCCAGGCUGUCUCCACCCGAGACUCAGUGAAAUUGAACUCGCUGUGAAGAUGCAGUGUACCCGCGGCAAGACGGAAAGACCCCGUGAACCUUUACUAUAGCUUGACACUGAACAUUGAGCCUUGAUGUGUAGGAUAGGUGGGAGGCUUUGAAGUGUGGACGCCAGUCUGCAUGGAGCCGACCUUGAAAUACCACCCUUUAAUGUUUGAUGUUCUAACGUGGGCCCCUUACCGGGGUUGCGGACAGUGUCUGGUGGGUAGUUUGACUGGGGCGGUCUCCUCCUAAAGAGUAACGGAGGAGCACGAAGGUUGGCUAAUCCUGGUCGGACAUCAGGAGGUUAGUGCAAUGGCAUAAGCCAGCUUGACUGCGAGCGUGACGGCGCGAGCAGGUGCGAAAGCAGGUCAUAGUGAUCCGGUGGUUCUGAAUGGAAGGGCCAUCGCUCAACGGAUAAAAGGUACUCCGGGGAUAACAGGCUGAUACCGCCCAAGAGUUCAUAUCGACGGCGGUGUUUGGCACCUCGAUGUCGGCUCAUCACAUCCUGGGGCUGAAGUAGGUCCCAAGGGUAUGGCUGUUCGCCAUUUAAAGUGGUACGCGAGCUGGGUUUAGAACGUCGUGAGACAGUUCGGUCCCUAUCUGCCGUGGGCGCUGGAGAACUGAGGGGGGCUGCUCCUAGUACGAGAGGACCGGAGUGGACGCAUCACUGGUGUUCGGGUUGUCAUGCCAAUGGCACUGCCCGGUAGCUAAAUGCGGAAGAGAUAAGUGCUGAAAGCAUCUAAGCACGAAACUUGCCCCGAGAUGAGUUCUCCCUGAGACUUAGAGUCUCCUGAAGGAACGUUGAAGACGACGACGUUGAUAGGCCGGGUGUGUAAGCGCAGCGAUGCGUUGAGCUAACCGGUACUAAUGAACCGUGAGGCUUAACCUUACAACGCCGAAG